rnacentral:rRNA from 1 species
AGCAGCCGCGGUAAUUCCAGCUCCAAUAGCGUAUAUUAAAGUUGUUGCAGUUAAAAAGCUCGUAGUUGAAUUUCGGGGUUAGUAGAUUGGUCAUGCCUCUGGUAUGUACUGGUCUCACUGAUUCCUCCUUCCUGAUGAUCCGUAAUGCCAUUAAUUUGGUGUUGCAGGGAAUUUGGACUGUUACUUUGAAAAAAUUAGAGUGUUUAAAGCAAGCUAACGCUUGAAUACAUUAGCAUGGAAUAAUGAAAUAGGACGUUCGAUCCUAUUUUGUUGGUUUCUAGGAUUGACGUAAUGAUUAAUAGGGAUAGUUGGGGGCAUUAGUAUUCAAUUGUCAGAGGUGAAAUUCUUGGAUUUAUUGAAGACUAACUACUGCGAAAGCAUUUGCCAAGGAUGUUUUCAUUAAUCAAGAACGAAAGUUAGGGGAUCGAAGACGAUCAGAUACCGUCGUAGUCUUAACCAUAAACUAUGCCGACUAGGGAUCGGAUGAUGUUAAUUUUUUAAUGACUCA